rnacentral:rRNA from 1 species
CCUACAGCUUAACUGUAGAACUGCCAUUGAUACUGAUCUUCUUGAGUACAAAUGAGGUGGGCGGAAUGUGGCAUGUAGCGGUGAAAUGUAUAGAUAUGCCACAGAACACCAAUUGCGAAGGCAGCUCACUAAAAUGUAACUGACGCUGAGGAACGAAAGCGUGGGGAGCGAACGGGAUUAGAUACCCCGGUAGUCCACGCCGUAAACGAUGAUCACUCGAUGUUGGCGAUAUACUGUCAGCGUCCAAGCGAAAGCGUUAAGUGAUCCACCUGGGGAGUACGGUCGCAAGAUUGAAACUCAAAGGAAUUGACGGGGGCCCGCACAAGCGGUGGAGCAUGUGGUUUAAUUCGAUGAUACGCGAGGAACCUUACCUAGGCUUAAAUGUAGAUUGACUUAUUGGGAAACCAGUAUUUCUUCGGACAAUCUACAAGGUGCUGCAUGGUUGUCGUCAGCUCGUGCCGUGAGGUGUCGGGUUAAGUCCCAUAACGAGCGCAACCCCUAUCGUUAGUUGCUAACAUUUAGUUGAGGACUCUAGCGAAACUGCCCGCGUAAGCGGAGAGGAAGGUGGGGAUGACGUCAAAUCAUCACGGCCCUUACGUCUAGGGCUACACACGUGCUACAAUGGUAAUUACAGAGGGAAGCAAACUGGUGACAGUGAGCCAAUCCUUAAAAAUUAUCCCAGUUCGGAUUGAAGUCUGCAACUCGACUUCAUGAAGUUGGAAUCGCUAGUAAUCGGAUAUCAGCCAUGAUCCGGUGAAUACGUUCCCGGGCCUUGUACACACCGCCCGUCAAGCCAUGGAAGUUGGGUGCGCCUGAAGUCGGUAACCGUAAGGAGCCGCCUAGGGUGAAACUAGUAACUGGGGCUAAGUCGUAACAAGGUAGCCGUA